AUGGGGCGCGCGCCGUGCUGCGACAGGACCGGGCUCAAGAAGGGGCCGUGGACGCAGGAGGAGGACGAGAAGCUCAUCGCCUACAUCAAGAAGCACGGCCAGGGCAACUGGCGCACCCUCCCCAAGGAUGCCGACCUGGAGCGGUGCGGGAAGAGCUGCCGGCUGCGGUGGACCAACUACCUCCGGCCGGACAUCAAGCGCGGCCGCUUCUCCUUCGAGGAGGAGGAGACCAUCAUCCAGCUCCACAGCAUCCUCGGCAACAAGUGGUCAGCCAUUGCGGCGAGGCUGCCCGGACGGACGGACAACGAGAUCAAGAACUACUGGAACACGCACAUCCGCAAGCGCCUCCUCCGCAUGGGCAUCGACCCCGUCACCCACGCGCCGCGCCUCGACCUCCUCGACCUCUCCUCGCUCCUCAAGCCUGCCGCCUACUACCCCACGCAGGCCGACCUCGACACGCUCCGCGCCUUCGAGCCGCUCGCCAACUACCCGGACCUCCUCCGCCUCGCCUCCACCCUCCUCGCAGCCCCGACCACAACCUCCUCGCAGCCCACGACCCAACAGCAGAUGCUCCUCCCUUGGCUGAUCCAGGCGCAGAUGGCGCAGCAGGUACCUCAGGCGCCGCCGCAACAUGCCACGGCCGCAGACAUGUUCUUGCAGCCCAGCUCGGCGUGCCAAAUGCCGGGCCUGGUUCACGCGAACCCCGCGCAGCAACUACACCAGGAUCACGUGGUGGCCUCUGACUACGGGCAGCUCCCGGGCUACGACAACCAGCUCGAGCUCGACUACGUGCCGGCGCUGAUGCAGAUGGCGUCAGACACGUCGAACCUGCAGUGGAGCAGCCCGGUCACAAGUAGCAACAACAACAACUGCAACGUCGGCUCCGGCGUAUCCACGCCGUCAUCGAGCCCCGCCGGGCGUGUGAACUCGGCUUCAACGGCAGCGUUCUGCGCCAACACGAGCAAUAUUGACGCCUUCAGCGCCGACGCCGCCGGGCUGUUCGACAUGCACCUGUCCGAUCUCCUGGAUGUGAGCGACUACAUGUAG
rnacentral:rRNA from 1 species